GCCAACAUAGCUCAGUCGGUAGAGCACUCCCAUGGUAAGGGAGAGGUCAUCGGUUCGAUUCCGUUUGUUGGCU
rnacentral:tRNA from 1 species